UCGGGAAUUUUGGGCAAUGGGCGAAAGCCUGACCCAGCAACGCCGCGUGAGGGAUGAAGUAUUUCGGUAUGUAAACCUCGAAAGAAUGGGAAGAAUAAGUGACGGUACCAUUUAUAAGCUCCGGCUAACUACGUGCCAGCAGCCGCGGUAAUACGUAGGGAGCAAGCGUUGUUCGGAUUUACUGGGCGUAACGGGCGCGUAGGCGGCGCGGUAAGUCACUUGUGAAAUCUCUGAGCUUAACUCAGAACGGCCAAGUGAUACUGCUGCGCUAGAGUGCGGAAGAGGCAACCGGAAUUCUGGGUGUAGCGGUGAAAUGCGUAGAUAUCAAGAGGAACACCUGAGGCGAAGGCGGGUUGCUGGGCCGACACUGACGCUGAUGCGCGAAAGCCAGGGGAGCAAACG
rnacentral:rRNA from 1 species